AAUGAACGUUGGCGGCAUGGAUUAGGCAUGCAAGUCGAGCGAGAAGUGUAGCAAUACACGGAAAGCGGCGGAAGGGAGAGUAAUACGUGGGAAUCUGCCCUUAGACCUGGGAUAGCAGCGGGAAACUGCUGGUAAUACCAGAUAAUGUCUAUGGACCCAAGGUGUGAUUCCGUCUAGGGAUGAGCCCACGUCCUAUUAGCUAGUUGGUAGGGUAAUGGCCUACCAAGGCGAUGAUGGGUAGCGGGUGUGAGAGCAUGACCCGCCUCACUGGGACUGAGACACUGCCCAGACACCUACGGGUGGCUGCAGUCGAGAAUCUUCGGCAAUGGGCGCAAGCCUGACCGAGCGAUGCCGCGUGCGGGAUGAAGGCCUUCGGGUUGUAAACCGCUGUCGAGGGGGAGCAACUUCCAUAGAGUUAUCUUUAUGGAUUGAGUGAUCCCUGGAGGAAGGACGGACUAAGUUCGUGCCAGCCGCCGCCGUAAAAC
rnacentral:rRNA from 1 species